rnacentral:rRNA from 1 species
UUUCCCUGGUCAUUCCAGAGGGAAGUAAAAGUCGUCAUCACGGUUCCGUUGGUGAACCAGCGGAGGGAUCAUUACCGAGUUUACAACUCCCAAACCCCUGUGAACAUACCUUUAUGUUGCCUCGGCGGAUCAGCCCGCGCCCCGUAAAACGGGACGGCCCGCCGCAGGAAACCCUAAACUCUGUUUUUAGUGGAACUUCUGAGUAUAAAAAACAAAUAAAUCAAAACUUUCAACAACGGAUCUCUUGGUUCUGGCAUCGAUGAAGAACGCAGCAAAAUGCGAUAAGUAAUGUGAAUUGCAGAAUUCAGUGAAUCAUCGAAUCUUUGAACGCACAUUGCGCCCGCCAGUAUUCUGGCGGGCAUGCCUGUUCGAGCGUCAUUUCAACCCUCAAGCCCAGCUUGGUGUUGGGAUCUGUGUGCAAACACAGUCCCCAAAUUGAUUGGCGGUCACGUCGAGCUUCCAUAGCGUAGUAAUUUACACAUCGUUACUGGUAAUCGUCGCGGCCACGCCGUUAAACCCCAACUUCUGAAUGUUGACCUCGGAUCAGGUAGGAAUACCAGCUGAACUUAAGCAUAUCAAUAAGCGAAGGAAAAA